GUAAUGUGUAGUCCCUGUGGCAAGAACAUUAAAGAUAAAGGGGAAACUAUAAACAGAAGAUAUUAUCAACAAAAUAAGAUUUACAGAGGUCAACAAAGCCUAAAUGGUCAGACAUCUUGAUUUUCAUGGUCAUCAUUCACAGAUCAAUACUGAACAGAAAACUUAAAGCUGAUAUUUUUCUCCAUAGUGCGACUUUUUUAUUAAUUUGAAAUGGAACGUGUUUUUUCCUACAUUUAUUUGAAAGAGGAAAUUUCAACAUGAUGACAAUAAACAAAAAGGAGUCAUAUCAUCACGAUCAUUGAUGCACAAGAACUUGAUCAUAUAAAUACAACAAUGUAAUUAUCAAUUGAAAGAUGGAACCAAUGAACAAAAUAUUAGAAUGUUGUUGUCCAACUAAACUUGCUUUGUUUUCUCAUUUGAAUCUCUCCAUUCAAUAAAGAUGUACAGAGGAAUAUCUUUGAAGAACAGAUUGAAAAAAUGUUUUGUCUAAGAAUUACAGGAAUAUUCUAGUGAAUGAAAUUAUUUAUUGACUUCACUCUUAUAUAGUGGACAGAAUAUUUGUACAUAGCAAGUUGUGAAUAAAGAAAACAAAAAC